rnacentral:lncRNA from 1 species
UGAACUUUGAGGGAGAAAUUGGGGGAAUUUUGGGCUCUGGGAAACUUCCAAGAUUUUUAGGAGGGAGAUUUGAAGUUUUUUUAGGUGAAAUUUGGGAGAUUUUGGGGUUUGAGGAGAGCUCACCUGAAGAGACCCCAAAUCUGGGGGGGCUUUGGGUGGGUCUGGCAUCACCUGAGGAGGAGAAAAAAAACCCAAAACUUGUGGAGAUUUUGUGACCAAAUUUGGUGGAUUUCAGGUUUUUUUUAAAACCUCUUUGAACCCCCAAUUUUAAAGUUUUUCGCAGACUUUGGAACCUUUUAAAAACCCCAAAUUUGAAGGGAUUUUAGGACCAAAUUUACAGGAUAUUUCCACGCUCUGAAGCCCCUAAUCCCCCCAAAAUUUGAGGCGAUUUCGGCGAUUUUGGGGGUGUUUUAAAACCUCUUUAUCCCCCCCAAUUUUAGAACGGGUUCGCACCCCGUGAACCGCAAAAAUUGUGACGUUUCUCGAGAACUUUUGGAGCUUUUUUAGGAGGAUCCGGAGCUGUUUUAUGAACCUGGGGGGCCCCAAAUUAAUGGGAUUUUUGAGGGGGGGUGAGGAUGGUCUUUAGGUGAAUUCCAGGGUGAGGCGCCCCUUCACUCCCCCCGCAACUUCGGGGGGGUUUUUGGGGUGUUUUAGAGGAUUUUGGAGUUUUUAAAACCCUCCCAAAUUUGAGGCGGGGUCGCCCCCCCCCGUUUUUACCUCAGGGAGCGGCGGCGGAUCCAAAAUGGCGGCGCGUCCUGAGGGGGGGAAGAAAGUGGGCGUGGCUUCCCUCUCUGUGACGUCAUUCCCUCACUCCCGCCCUCACUUAAGAUGGCGUCCGCCCUCUUUCCUCCAUAGUGCGCAUGCGCCAGCUCGUUCCGCGCUGCCAUUGGCUGAUUCUUUUCCCGCCUCUCUCCCCUUUGGCCACGCCCAUCUAAGGGCAGCCCUUCAGCAAAAUGGCGUUUCCCGCCUUUCCAAACCGACCAAUCAGACGCGUCGCUUUUGGCGGGCAACGCCCCCUCAGGGCCGCCUAAGCCCCGCCCAUCUUCCCCUCAUCCCUCAGGCCGCCAUGAUGGCGGCGGCGACCCCGCGGCUGCGGCCGCUGCUCCGCGCCCUCACAAUUCAGAGGUUUCGGGGUCCCCGUUGGAGCUGCGGAGGCGCCCCCGGGUUGGGCCCGGCCGUGAGGGGAGUGGCGAGCGCGGGAGAGCAGGUGAGGAUUUAAAGGGGAAAUUUU